CGUGGAUAACCUACCUAUAAGACUGGGAUAACUUCGGGAAACCGGAGCUAAUACCAGAUAACAUGUUGAACCGCAUGGUUCAACAGUGAAAGACGGUCUUGCUGUCACUUAUAGAUGGAUCCGCGCCGCAUUAGCUAGUUGGUAAGGUAACGGCUUACCAAGGCAACGAUGCGUAGCCGACCUGAGAGGGUGAUCGGCCACACUGGAACUGAGACACGGUCCAG
rnacentral:rRNA from 1 species